AUACGGAGGGUGCAAGCGUUGUUCGGAAUUAUUGGGCUUAAAGCUCGCGUAGGCGGAAUAUCAGGUGUCGUGUGAAAUCCCCGGGCUCAACCCGGGAAUUGCGCGGCAAACCGGUAUUCUUGAGGCAGGUAGAGGUGACUGGAACGACUGGUGGAGCGGUGAAAUGCGUAGAUAUCAGUUGGAACGCCGGAGGCGAAAGCGAGUCACUGGGCCUGUCCUGACGCUGAGGCGCGAAAGCGUGGGGAGCGAACAGGAUUAGAAACCCUAGUAGUCC
rnacentral:rRNA from 1 species